AGCAGCCGCCGCGGUAAUACGGAGGGAGCUAGCGUUGUUCGGAAUUACUGGGCGUAAAGCGCACGUAGGCGGUUAUUCAAGUCAGAGGUGAAAGCCCGGGGCUCAACCCCGGAACUGCCUUUGAAACUAGAUAGCUUGAAUCUGGGAGAGGCGAGUGGAAUUCCGAGUGUAGAGGUGAAAUUCGUAGAUAUUCGGAAGAACACCAGUGGCGAAGGCGACUCGCUGGACAAGUAUUGACGCUGAGGUGCGAAAGCGUGGGGAGCAAACAGGAUUAGAUACCCGCGUAGUCCCAGUCUCUUAUAC
rnacentral:rRNA from 1 species